rnacentral:rRNA from 1 species
GACGAACGCUGGCGGCGUGCUUAAUACAUGCAAGUAGAACGCAGUUGCGAAAGGGUGAGUAACGCGUAGGUAACUGCCCCAUAGCGGGGGAUUACUAUUGGAAACGAUAGCUAAUACCGCAUAUUGUGAGAUGGACCGGCGUUGUAUUAGCUAGUGGGUGAGGUAAAGGCUCACCAAGGCGAAGAUACAUAUCCGACCUGAGAGGGUGAUCGGCCACACUGGGACUGACACCAGGCCCAGACUCCUACGGGGGGCAGCCGUAGGGAAUCUUCGGCAAUGGACGGAAGUCUGACCGAGCACCGCAGCGUGAGUGAAUGAGGUUUUCGGAUCGUAAAGCUCUGUUGUUAGAGAAGCGGUGACUAACCAGAAAGGGACGGCUAACUACGUGCCAGCAGCCGCGGUAAUUC